GUGCUUGCUUCAGCAGCACAUUUACUAAAACUGGAACGAUACAGAGAAGAUUAGCAUGGUCCCUGCACAAGGAUGACACGCAAAAACCUGGCAUAUUUUUCUUAUAUUU
rnacentral:snRNA from 1 species